AAUGGGCGGUAGGCUGAUGCAGCUACGCCGCGUGAGGGAUGACGGCCUUCGGGUUGUAAACCUCUUUAUGUAGACUCGAAGCGCGAGUGACGGUAUGUGCAGAAGAAGGACCGGCCAACUACGUGCCAGCAGCCGCGGUAAUACGUAGGGUCCGAGCGUUGUCCGGAAUUAUUGGGCGUAAAGGGCUCGUAGGCGGUUUGUCGCGUCGGGAGUGAAAACACCGGGCUUAACUCGGUGCUUGCUUUCGAUACGGGCAGACUAGAGGCAUUCAGGGGAGAACGGAAUUCCUGGUGUAGCGGUGAAAUGCGCAGAUAUCAGGAGGAACACCGGUGGCGAAGGCGGUUCUCUGGGAAUGUCCUGACGCUGAGGAGCGAAAGUGUGGGGAGCGAACAGGAUUAGAUACCCUGGUAGUCCACACCGUAAACGUUGGGCGCUAGGUGUGGGAUCCAUUCCACGGGUUCCGUGCCGCAGCUAACGCAUUAAGCGCCCCGCCUGGGGAGUACGGCCGCAAGGCUAAAACUCAAAGGAAUUGACGGGG
rnacentral:rRNA from 1 species